AGUGAACGCUGGCGGUAGACCUAACACAUGCAAGUCGAACGGCAGCACCGUAAGUGCUUGCUCUUACGGGUGGGGAGUGGCGGGAGGGUGAGGAGUAUAUCGGACUCUACAUUUUCGGGGGGGAUCACGUAGGGAAAGUUAAGCUAGGACCGCAUACGACCUACGGGUGAAAGGAGGGGAUCAUAGGAACUUGUGCGAUUGAAUGAGGCGAUGUCGGCUUAGCUGGUUGGCGGGGUAAAGGCCCACCAAGGCGGCGAUGCGUAGCUGGUGUGAGUGGAUGGUCGGCCCCACUGGAACGGAGACGCGGCCCAGACGCCUACGGGAGGCGGCAGUGGGGAAUAGUGGACAAUGGGGGUAAGCAUGAUCCAGCCGUGCCGCGUGGGGGGAGAAGGCCUUCGGGUGGUAAAGACCUUUUUUUGGGAAAGAAAAGCAGCAGGUUAAUACCCAGCUGUUCUGACGGUACCCAAAGAAUAAGCACCGGCUAACUUCGUG
rnacentral:rRNA from 1 species